rnacentral:misc_RNA from 1 species
GAAUUAAUUAUGUUAAUUAUUUUUUAAAGAAAUAACCAAAAUCGUCUAAGAAGAAUAAUGUGAAAAGAAAUUUAUUUAUAAGAUGAAAGCUUCAAGACUGAAAAAUUUCUGGAAGCAAAAGACGACGUUUCUUUCUACUUUGCUUUAUAUUUACAAUAAAGAGCGUGUCUGUAGCAUCUUUCCUUUGGAUUACUUUUUUCUCACUGUUAAUGAUGAUAUACUUACUGAAUUAUCUUUGUAGUUUUAUGCUUUGAAAUUUUCUUUCGUUUUGUUUUUUGCCCAGUGUUUUUUUUGUUACUAUGCAUAAUAUUAAUUCGUGUAAAUUGCACAUAUGUUCUCCCAAGGUGAAAUGUUUGAAGAAAACUAAUUUCAAAUUUUACGCGGGCUUCUCAAGUAUUUACUGGGAUACGAACUCCUCGUAUUAAUAAUGACACCAGGUGAAAUAGAUCAAACGGUCGCCUGUUUUCUCACAUUUACUAAGUUAUCUAAGUUCAAGUUCACACAUACUAUAAAAGAAAUGCUCUUUCUUCUCUUCCUUGCCGGUUUCAUCGCCUUUCUUGCAGUUUUUCUAUUUGCAGAUGCCGAUUUGUUGACUCUAUAUUAUGAGAGAUUUGGAUUAAAAGCUGACUCAUUAAGGGGAAAGGUCAUUUGGAUAACUGGAGCAUCGAGUGGAAUAGGGGAAUAUACUGCUUAUGAGUUAUCCAAAGUGAAUUGUUCACUUAUCUUAUCUGCACGUCGAAAGAGCGAAUUGGAAAGAGUAGCGUCAAAAUGUAGAACUCUCGGCCCAGUGGAUGUUGUAGUGCUACCGUUGGACGUGACCGAUGCAACGAGUCAGAAGAAUUGCUUCGAUAAAAUUAUCGAACAAUUCGGGCGAAUAGAUGUACUAUAUAAUAACGCGGGCCGUUCCCAGCAAGCCGACGCCCUUAAAACUGAGUUAAAAGCCGAUCACGACAUUUUCGACAUUAAUUUUAUAUAUUGCAUAAGUCUCGCUAAAAUUGUUCUUAAUCACAUGAAGGAAAUCGGUAGCGGUCAAGUUGCCUUUACUUCCAGUAUUGCGGGUAAAUUAGGUUCGCCCCGUCAAGCCAUGUAUUGCGCCACUAAACACGCAUUGCACGGUUGGGUAGCUGCCACCCGUUUCGAAUUAGGUGAAACAGAUAUUAUACUCCAGCUACUAUGUCCUGGACCAGUUGUCUCUGAUAUAAGAAAAUGUUCCUUUACGGAAGUUUCGGGAAAAGAAUUUGGUGGGGAAGAUCCCAACGCUAAAAAGAAGAUGUCCACUGAAAGAUGUGCUAAGCUAAUGGUAGUGGCAGUUGCAAAUAAAAUAGGCGAGAGUUGGAUAACAAAACAACCAAUCCUCCUAGUGACUUAUAUUGGACAGUAUAUACCAGUCCUUUUCGCAUGGUAGCAGCCCUUAAUUAAGUCUUUAAGUUUCCUCUUUUUAAACCUUCCUCUUUUUUUUCCUUAAUGCAGGAUGGCAAGAACGCUGUCGGGUAAAGUUGUGCAAAGGUUACGUUACGGUAAAAAGGACUAAGACGAUUAACCUUUCUAUCUUAUACUUUUACUACGAACAAUGAAAGUUAUUAGACAUGAAAGGUAAAAAAAAGCAAAAUUGAUAUAAAACUACCCUUUCAGUUGAUGGAGAGGGAAAUAAAUGAAAUUAUUCCACUUGUAAAAGUUAUUAUGAUUACUCAGAGAAGAGAAACGGGGAGAAGAAUGCUAGAAAACAUAUUUUGUUUAAUAUUCAUAGCAAAUCGCUAUUGGAAAAUGAUUCUGAAAUGAAACAAUUCCGUCUUAAGAAAAAACAAACAUUCUUUUUCCACAAAAGUGAAUCCCCGUCAAUCGGUAGUUUUGUCUAAUAUAUAUAUAAUCACCUGUUUCUCUAUUAUCAAAAUUCUUUUUAUCCUCUUUACUCCUUUCCCCUGUUAGUUCUAACAUAAGCUUUAACGGUGUCCAGAAAAAUCAGCCUAUGAUGACGUAAUAUAAAAUUUUCUUUAGCAUUACUAAUCUACUUCGCAUUCGUUAAAUUAUUAUCUAGAAAUAAAAUAAUCUUCAGUUUUUUCUCAUUCUUUUCGAAGGUAAACAAAAGAUUUUUUUUUCUUUAUGUCUAAUCAAACUAGUUUACUUAUCUAUAAGAUUGCAUGGUUGUUACCUAUAUUCGACAAAAUCAAAAUAUUAACUUUAGUCCCAAAUAUAGGCUGACUAUGACUAAGAACAAUACAGAUUAGUCAUACUUUCUUACGCAAUAAUUAGGUGUAGAGUCGCAGAUUAGAAAGUGUAUGAGAUACUUAAAAAAUCUUGAAUAGAAUAAAGGUAAAAAAUAGAAAAAAAAGAAAAAAGAAAAAACGAUGAUAGAUUUAAGUUGUUAGCGGUAAUUUGCUAAUAGCUUCGUAAAUACCCUGGAAACGGUACCGUAUACGCUUCAUUAAAUUCGGUAGAAGUUCUUUGUAAAAAAUCUAUCCAUUCAAGUGACUCGCGUGAUGACGAGAUUUUUUUUUAUCUCGGAUUACCUUACAACAUAAUAACCCGCAGUCAAUAAUAUAAUUCUAUAAUAAGUGGAGCGUUAAGACUAAAGACGGAAGAGGGAGGAAGAAAGAAUGGAAGUUGGGGAACAUGCGCAAAAUUUAUAUUGUACAUUUCGCGGGUAAUGUUUGAUAAAAAAAAACUAGACACGAUUGCUGAUUGGCUGCUGUCAAUACAAAACGGUCAUAUAAAAGCCCAAUCAGGUCGAGUUAUAUAGCAAAUUAGUUAGUGUCGAUAUAUUUUCACCUUCGUUCAAAAAAUAAACUUUUUAUAUAUUUAUCAUACUCAAAAAAUAAAGCAAGAGAAUGAAUAACGCUGACGACCGAAUAUACCACGCUGUAAUAAUCAAAAAGGACGAGGAACUCGUUAAAGUUGCCGCCAGUUUAAGGGGCAUUGCCGAUACCUUUGAAGAGCAAUUUAAGAGGAGGAGGACGUCGGCCACAACCUCUGCCACUGCCUUGUGCGUAAUAGGUAGAAUGAUCCCCCUAAUCUACCGUUUUUACCAGGAUUAUCUUCUCAGCUGAUCAGCCUUUACAUGAAGUAUUCCUUAAUGUAUAAUAAGACAGCAGUUAUUUUUUUUUCAAGGUGAGAUUGUUUUUAACGUUCUUUGUUCUUUUUUUUAUUUAUAUAUUCGAAUAUGAUUAUUAUUUUCAAAACCUAGAGAAUAAUUAGGUUACUGCUUAUCUGUCUUUAAUUUUCUCAGUUCAUUAAUUAAAUUUCAGAUCUCAAAACGCUUUAAGAAACAAUCAACUUUUGAGCUGAUGAUUCUGUUGUGUACAUUACACACAUGCGCAUAAACAGUACACGGUUGAUGAUUAGAUCAUCAUGUAUACAUA